CACCGGAUCCCAUCAGAACUCCGAAGUUAAGCGUGCUUGGGCGAGAGUAGUACUAGGAUGGGUGACCUCCUGGGAAGUCCUCGUGUUGCACCCAU
rnacentral:rRNA from 1 species